rnacentral:rRNA from 1 species
UCCUUCGGGUGAUUCUAAAGAAGGACAGCGGCGGACGGGUGAGUAACGCGUAGGCAACCUGCCCCAUACAUUGGGAUAGCCCUGGGAAACUGGGUGUAAUACCGAAUAACACUUUGAAAUGGCAUCUUUUCAAAGUCAAAACUCCGGUGGUAUGGGAUGGGCCUGCGUCUGAUUAGCUAGUUGGUAAGGUAAUGGCUUACCAAGGCGACGAUCAGUAGCCGACCUGAGAGGGUGAUCGGCCACACUGGAACUGAGACACGGUCCAGACUCCUACGGGAGGCAGCAGUGGGGAAUAUUGCACAAUGGGCGAAAGCCUGAUGCAGCAACGCCGCGUGAGUGAUGAAGGCUUUCGGGUUGUAAAACUCUGUCCUAAAGGAAGAAUAAUGACGGUACUUUAGGAGGAAGCCCCGGCUAACUACGUGCCAGCAGCCGCGGUAAUACGUA